AUGAUCAAAGAUGAUAUAUAUGACCACAAACAAAUAAAUUGUUCUUGAGGGUCAUUAAUUUAAGAAAGAAAAAGAAGAAGAAGAAGAAGAGUAAAGAUGAUUAAUGUCGACUGAUUCACCAUCUUUUAUUUCCACAUUUAGCAGGUAAAGUGCUUCCCACGUACGAUGGAGCAGUGCUAUUGACACAUGGGUUGUAUGCAAAAGGGGCAAGAAGAGAGAGAGAGAGAGAGUUGGACGGUUGAAAACAAUUGUACCCAUAAAAAAGAGGGAGUCCAAUAAUAUUUUAACUUCCAUAUUCUCCCUGUACAAAUAAUAUUUAUUUGCUCUACUGUGAACUACUUUUUCAUAUUGUUUUAUCAUUUGCUUCCCUCUUUUAAGCAGGAGAUCUAACCUUCUUUUUCCUUUUUCUUUUUUUACUUCUUGUGUUGAUUAUAUCUAAUUUUCUUUCUUUAGCUUUUCCCCACAUGGAGAUUGGAGAAUGACUAGGCUAUUCUAAUUUAGAUGCAAGUAGAGUAAUUUAUGUGAAGUAGAAGAAUAAUAAAUAUUCUUAGUGGGGGGAUAAGCUAGAAGCAUGACCCAAUGAGGAGAAUAAUGCCUUUGUGGACCACUUCAAGUCACUUGGCUCGAAGGCUAUUAUAUAUAUAUAUGUAUAUAUACAUGGAAUAUUGGAAAGAGAAGAAGCCAUGCAGUAGCUGCUUAAAGUUGUUCUUUUCCUUCGCCCUCUGAAGGUUCUUGAAGCCAAGAAAAAUGUGGAGGAAAAGAAGAAAGAAGAAGAAGAAGAAGAAGAAAAUGGUAAAGAGAGUACCGUCCGUUGGAUAAUCAUAUAUUUAUAUGUUUCCCCUCUUCUUCUUCCUCUGCAUGGAACUGAAGGGGUCAAAAGGCAAGUCAAAGAGGCAAAGGGAAGGUCAUGCCUUUCUUCCGGGUUUUUCUGUUGUUGUUGUUGUUUUUAUUUCGUUCCUGUAUAUCCCUGGAACAUGUGUGGUGUUGACAGGGAGUGGUAGCUAUAUAUAUAUACAUAUAUGUAUAUGCCAAGGUGUUUUUCUCUUUUCUGUGUUAGUUCAAGAGCUAAAAUGGUUUGCUACUUCGCUUCCUUAUCGUCUGUUAUUUAAUGCAUGCUAUCUUUUCUGCUUU